rnacentral:rRNA from 1 species
UACGUAGGGGGCAAGCGUUGUCCGGAAUCAUUGGGCGUAAAGAGCGCGUAGGCGGUCCGAUAAGUCGGCUGUGAAAGUCAGGGGCUCAACCCUUGAAAGCCGGCCGAUACUGUCGGACUAGAGUUCGGAAGAGGCGAGUGGAAUUCCUGGUGUAGCGGUGAAAUGCGCAGAUAUCAGGAAGAACACCCGUGGCUAAGGCGGCUCUCUAGUACGGUACUGACGCUGAGACGCGAAAGCGUGGGGAGCGAACAGG